rnacentral:rRNA from 1 species
GGAGGGGUGCAAGCGUUACCCGGAAUCAUUGGGCGUAAAGCGUCCGCAGGCGGGUUAUUUAAGUCAGAUAUUAAAUCUUGGGGCCCAACUCCAAGGCUGUAUCUGAAACUGGAUAACUAGAGUCUUUCAGGGGCAUAUGGAAUUCUGUGUGUAGGGGUAAAAUCCGUAGAUACACAGAGGAACACCAAAAGCGAAGGCAAUAUGCUGGGAAAGUACUGACGCUCAUGGACGAAAGCGUAGGUAGCGAACGGGAUUAGAUACCCCGGUAGUCUACGCCGUAAACGAUGGAUACUAGUUGUUGGAGGGCUCGACCCCUUCAGUGACGACGCUAACGCAUUAAGUAUCCCGCCUGGGGAGUACGGUCGCAAAGAUUAA